UACGAAGGGGGCUAGCGUUGCUCGGAAUCACUGGGCAUAAAGGGUGCGUAGGCGGGUCUUUAAGUCAGGGGUGAAAUCCUGGAGCUCAACUCCAGAACUGCCUUUGAUACUGGGGAUCUCGAGUCCGGAAGAGGUGAGUGGAACUGCGAGUGUAGAGGUGAAAUUCGUAGAUAUUCGCAAGAACACCAGUGGCGAAGGCGGCUCACUGGUCCGGUACUGACGCUGAGGUGCGAAAGCGUGGGGAGCAAACAGG
rnacentral:rRNA from 1 species